rnacentral:misc_RNA from 1 species
AGGAUGCACAGAACGAACAACCUGGAAAACUAAAGAAAAAUAAGUAAUAGGAAAUCGUCUAUUUUAUGUACACAAAUAUCAGAGAACGACAGGAAAAUCAUGUUUUAGGAUGUCAGAUCGUCACCUGUCACACAUGUAAAUCUCAAACAUGUAAAACAUGGCUAGUCUAAAGUGAUCUAGUAUGAAAAUUGAUAGGGAAUUUUG